rnacentral:rRNA from 1 species
GACGAAGGGGGCAAGCGUUGUUCGGAAUUACUGGGCGUAAAGGGCGCGUAGGCGGUUCUUUAAGUCAGGCGUGAAAGCCCUGGGCUCAACCUGGGAGUGGCGCUUGAUACUGGAGGACUAGAGAGUGGGAGAGGUUGGUGGAAUUCCCAGUGUAGAGGUGAAAUUCGUAGAUAUUGGGAAGAACACCGGUGGCGAAGGCGGCUCUCUGGACCGAUACUGACGCUGAGGCGCGAAAGCGUGGGGAGCAAACAGG